GGCAUUUGGGGUUCAUCGGCGAGCAGGGUGGUGCGGGAAGAAGGCGGAGAGCGGCGCGGUGCCGCCGUGCUGGGUGGCGGCCGCCGAAACUCCGGUGCGUGCGGCGCUCAGAAGUUUGGGACCCGACGAUUCUUCAAGCCGUGCGAGGAUAUCUUGGGUUUUCAGGGUCACUGAUUCGUUUGUUGCUUUUUUCCCCUGGACAUCUUCUUCAGUGCAGCAGAGUGCAGGGUGAAGCUGAGUUCCUGACGACAGAAGAAGCACGGAGGAGGCAGAGGUAGUACGACGAGCCGGUAAGCUCUCUCUGGCGCUCCUUGUCAUACGAGAGCAUCUUACUUCUGGGAGAUCAUGCAUGUGGGUUAUCAUUGAUGCGACGAAAGUGGGAAGUGUGGCUCGUUUUAUCAACCAUUCGUGUCAUGGAGGCAAACCUACAGCCUGUGUUAGUAAGGAGAUCCAGUUCAUUGCUCCCAAGGCUCUGCCUCACAACUGUUGUCCGUGGCCAGUGGUCUCAACAUGGCCUUAUUUAGCUGUGGCUCUCGUGUUUGUGUCAGUUUCACAUUGAAUUGUGUUGAUGCUUCUACGAAAAUCAAUGGACCUGACCUGACAAUCAGUUGCUUAGAGCGCAAGAACUUCCUACUGUACCGUGGUUCAUGUCAAAAGCAUUUCAGCUUGGUAGGAUAGAGGAGCCCUUGAAUAAUAAAAGAAGC